UAGGGAAUCUUCGGCAAUGGACGAAAGUCUGACCGAGCAACGCCGCGUGAGUGAAGAAGGUUUUCGGAUCGUAAAACUCUGUUGUUAGAGAAGAACAAGGACGUUAGUAACUGAACGUCCCCUGACGGUAUCUAACCAGAAAGCCACGGCUAACUACGUGCCAGCAGCCGCGGUAAUACGUAGGUGGCAAGCGUUGUCCGGAUUUAUUGGGCGUAAAGCGAGCGCAGGCGGUUUCUUAAGUCUGAUGUGAAAGCCCCCGGCUCAACCGGGGAGGGUCAUUGGAAACUGGGAGUCUUGAGUGCAGAAGAGGAGAGUGGAAUUCCAUGUGUGGCGGUGAAAUGCGUAGAUAUAUGGAGGAACACCAGUGGCGAAGGCGGCUCUAUGGUCUGUAACUGACGCUGAGGCUCGAAAGCGUGGGGAGCAAACAGG
rnacentral:rRNA from 1 species